AUAAGCUAUUCACCAACAGCCUCAGAUCUGGGAAGAGGCUGAUGUCUUAUCUGAUGUCAUUACCAAAAGCCACUAUUUUAAAACUGUCUUCUUUCAACUGCCUUGCUUCCUGAAUUAUAUAGUUAAUAGCAGAGCCAGCAGUAAUAGCACCCAGGUCUCUUGACUCCCAGGCCCGGUGGUCCCCUUCUUAUUUACGAUUGUAGCCAACACAGUCGCUGGAAACCUUUCUCAGAGAAUUGUCAGAUAUUAGCGCUGCCAGUGACCUCACAGUCCGUCUCGUCCAACCACCUCCAUUUACAGAGGAAUAAGCUGAGCCCCACAGAGGGGCUGCAGGGUGCUGAAGGUCACAGUGACUUGGGAGAUGUCGUUUCUGGGGCUGGCUGCACCGCCAGGUCCUAGUCCAAUGUUCUUUCCAUUGCACGCUGCUGUCUCCUAUGAUAAAUGCUGUAUGCCUGUCUCCCUGCCAGGUUACUGCAGGCCUGGUGCUCUAUCCACUAUCUAACCAUCCUCACAUAUUUAUGGAUAGAGUGAAAAAACUUGAAGAUGAAGAUCACAACCUAAAUGGCUUCCUUUGACCAAGAUGAAUUCUGCAGCCCAGCCUCAAUCCAUCUUUCUGAGAAUAAGAACUGGACACCAACUGGCUAACACAAGCAAACUACUUCCCACACACCCAGACGAAAUAAAAGGAACAGAUGUUAACACACUUCUGCCAAAACUGCAGUGAGCCCAGAGCUGUGAAGCCCAUGUUGGAGGAGAGACGUCACUGCAGCAGGCACAGCCUUAGCCCAGCCCAGAGAAGUAAACACAGGAAACAAUGAGACAACAGGCAUGUGCACAGGACAUACAGUUGGUCCAUUGAUGUCUUUUCCAAAAUUGAAGGCUUCUGAAGCCAUUUUGCCAAUAUAUAGCCCGGGCUGACUUUUUAAAGUUCAUCCUACUCAUCGUCAGCUUUUCUUGUUACAGAAAUGUCUACAAGUACAGCAAGUGUUAUUCUCUGAGGAAUAAGUAGAGAGGGGGAAGAAUAAGUAAUGUAACUCCAGAGCAAAAAUUUGUAACCUUUCUGGUGUUAGAGACCCCUUUGGCAAUCCUCUGAAGUCUAUGGACACCUUUUCACACCAAUUUUUAUAAAUGCAUAAAUGAGAAUAUGAAAGAAUUAUGCUUAGGCAUUCUUUCCAAUUACUCUUUCCUUCUCUCCCUUUCUUCCUCUCUUCUUUCCUCCCUUCCUUCCUCC